UGCUCUUUUGAUAUCCCAUAUCUGGAAAGC
rnacentral:piRNA from 1 species